rnacentral:rRNA from 1 species
AUUGAACGCUGGCGGCAGGCCUAACACAUGCAAGUCGAACGAGUGGCGGACGGGUGAGUAAUGUCUGGGAAACUGCCUGAUGGAGGGGGAUAACUACUGGAAACGGUAGCUAAUACCGCAUACCAUCGGAUGUGCCCAGAUGGGAUUAGCUAGUAGGUGGGGUAAAGGCUCACCUAGGCGACGAUCCCUAGCUGGUCUGAGAGGAUGACCAGCCAAACUGGGACUGAGACACGGUCCAGACGCCUACGGGAGGCAGCAGGGGGGAAUAUUGCACAAUGGGCGAAAGCCUGAUGCAGCCAUGCCGCGUGUAUGAAGAAGGCUUGCGGGUUGUAAAGUACUUUCGGCGGGGAGGCGUUACCCGCAGAAGAAGCACCGGCUAACUCCGUGCCAGCAGCCGCGGUAAUGC